ensembl:lncRNA
GAACACGGAAAAUAUAACACGUGCAGGCGUUAACGGUUUCAGAAUAGAAUUAAGGUGGGAAAAACUACUCUCAGCGUGAUCAGUCAUCAGAAAUCCCUCUCUCCGUGUGUGUCAGUGUGUGAUGAUGGAGAGCAUCAGUGUGACGUGUGCAGAGGUUCAGAGCUCAGGCGGGUUUGAGCUGAGAGUUCCUGCUGACAGACUCACUCUCUUCAGUCAGUCUGACUGUGAACCGCUCUGGUACUCACAGGAUGAUCGUCUGAUAGCAGAUCCAUCAGAUCCUCAGAAACUGAUUGAUCCUGUUAUUUCUGUCUCAUCUGAUCGUCUCGUCACUUCUUACUGUGUGGAUGAACUUCGUCAUGAGAUCCGCUGCGAUGCUUCAGGACUCAGACUGGAGACCGUGUUCAGAGGUGAGAGAAACAGUGUGUGUCCUGAUUGA